AUGUUCUGAUGCUACAAUUGAAGAGAUUUAAGUUUGAAUACUAUCAAGGCAAUAUGGAUUUUCCCUACACAAUUCAAAUACAGGUAAACUUAAGUUUAUUUAAUUGUUUGUAUUUUGUUCUAUCUUAACACAUUUUUGUUCUUAAUUAAUGGCAAUGUUUCUUUUAUCAGAAUCAAAACUAUGAGUUGUAUGCAUUUGUGGAGCAUUUUGGAAAUCUGAAAAAUGGACAUUACACUGCAACGAUCAACUCCCAGGAUGAUGAGAAAUGGUAUAACUUCAAUGAUACCAUGGUCACACUGGCUGAAUACAAAUCAUCCCAGUGUCAUAGCACGCAAAAUUCUAGACCCAUGGUUAUCAGUCCUAUUGUGGCAGCGGUUCUGCGUCAGACCAUGUCGGCCACCACAAGGGUUCUCCUGCUGAUGACUGCUGCUACCAUGGGGGUUCUGCUUUGGAUGACAGCAGCCGCCACAGGGUUUCUGCGUCAAAUCAUGUCCACCACCACAAGGAUUCUCCAGCCGAUGACUGCUGCUACCACAGGCGUUCUGCCUCAGACGACAUCAGCGUCCUUAAACAUCAAGCGCGACAAGUAAUGAAAAAAGUUUUAUAACAGACAGCUGGACUAGUAGAAAAUGUCUUAUGUAUGUGAUAUGUUUCAAAAUAGCAAACAGUUUUUUUUUCUUAUUGAUCCCAUGUCAGUGAACAGUAUUACCAAUAUACUACGUAAAGUACUUUGAACAGCUCUACAGCAUAGCGCUCUCACCACCAUGUUGCAGACUCCACUAAACAAAAGCAAAACAUACCAAACUAAAUGUUGUAUGUUUGGUAUCAAACUUUGGUCUUAAGUCAAAGUACUAGACCUGCCAGCUUAGGAUUCAAAUUUCCAUGGUCAAACAUUCCUUCUUUAAAGUGAUGACAGUUACUGUAGCAACUGCGAAGCUGUGCUAUGGUAGCAUUUCAUCCUAAGUGAGCAUCCACUAUCUUGUAGAUGAGGUCGAGACCAGUGGUUAUCAGCCCUAUUAUGCCAAUUAAAUCCCUUAAUUUCAGCACAACAGCAACAUUUCUGAAUGAUUACUGAAUGAUUACUGAAAAUUCUCAGGCUUUACUUUUUGUGGAAUAAAUUAAAAUAUACCUGGCUUAUUAUUAUUAUU
rnacentral:lncRNA from 1 species